AAAAUGAUCAAUGUAGAGCCUUCUCAAAGAAGAUUGAAAUAUUUAUAAAUAAGUAAUGUACAACAUUAUUGAGGCUACAUUUGUGACUAUUUGAAAACUAAUGUGAACAUAUUCUUCUUGCAGGCUCGUGGGGUGAUUUUGGCCGUAAUCCAGCGAUACUCCGGUGAACUCAACGGGAUAAAGAGAAGUAGGGAAAGAGAAUGAGAGAAGCGCCGGCAACGCAGCUGUGCAGGUGGGGCGACGCGGCGGUUGAGGAAAGAGGGGCGACGCGGCGCGGUAGGUGAGGCGUGAGAGAGAAGGAAAUGAGGGAAAAGAGAGAAGCGCCGGCGUCGGGAAAUGAGGGAACUAGCGGGUGAGGCGGCGGGAAGCAGGAAUUCAGCACGACGAUGAGCACAGUGGCGGCAGUUAAAUAUGAAGAAGACGAUGGAGGCUAUUGAAUUAGGUUAUUGAGGUGUAUCUAUAUGGGCUUGAUAAUUGUGGGCUUCAAUUACAGUACUCCCUCCGUCCCGCACUAUUUGCACUUAUUUCCUUUUUGGACGUCCCAAGUUAUUUGCACUCUUUCCAUUUUUAGUAACAAUUUAUA